AUGUCAUCUUUCAACGUAACCUACGCUCACUCACCCUCCCGGCUAUCUGCAAUGGUUUCAUCUUUGCUUCCUUCCCCUAAACAGUUAUCAUCUUUUGAUGCUAACAGUGCUACUGAUACUUUCUGCUCCACUCUUACAUCUUGUUUAGACACUGUUUGGCCCUUGUCUUCCAGGCCAGCCCGUACCACCCCUUCUGCCCCUUGGUUAUCUGAUGUUCUACGCGAACACCGUUCUAAGCUUAAAGCUGCUGAAAGGGUGUGGCGCAAAUCCAAAAAUCCUACUGACCUUGAUGUGUAUCAGUCACUCCUCUCUUCCUUCUCUGCUAAUGUCUCCACUGCUAAAAGGACAUACUCCCAUAACAAAAUUAACAAUUCAUGUAACUCUCGCAUGCUUUUUAAAACAUUUUCCUUGCUCCUUUGUCCUCCUCCUCCCCCUCCCCCUCCUGCAUCAACUCUAACAGCUGAUGACUUUGCCACAUUUUUCAUUAAUAACAUUAAACCCAUCAGUGCACAGUUUUUCACACCACAAUCCGUCAAGCACAUCUUACCAGCAAACAUACACUUGUUCACAUCCUUCUCUUCACUUUCUGAGGCAGAAGUCUCCAAACUCAUCCUUUCUAAUCAUCCUAUUACUUGUCCGCUUGAUCCUAUUCCAUCUCAUCUGCUUCAAGCCAUUUCUCCUGCAGUUGUGCCUGCACUCACUCACAUCAUUAACACAUCCCUUCACACAGGUGUUUUCCCCUCAUCAUUUAGACAGGCUUGUAUAACUCCACUACUUAAGAAACCCACCCUCAACCCAUCUCUUUUAGAAAACUACAGACCAGUUUCCCUUCUUCCAUUCAUUGCAAAAACACUUGAACGAGCUGUGUUCAACCAAGUCUCUGCCUUUCUCACACAGAUCAACCUCCUCAACAGGAACCAGUCUCAUUCCAGAAGUGGACAUUCAACUGAGACUGCCUUGCUCUCAGUUAUUGAAGCCCUAAGACUGGCAAGAGCAGAUUCCAAAUCUUCAAUACUUAUCUUGCUGGAUCUGUCCGCUGCUUUUGACACUGUUAACCACCAGAUCCUCCUGUCAACCCUACUGGCAAAGGGCAUCUCAGGAACUGCACUCCAGUGGUUUGAGUCUUACCUCUCAGAUAGGUCCUUCAAAUUAUCUUGGAGAGGUGAGCUACUGGGGUGCCUCAGGGCUCAGCUCUUGGACCACUUCUCUUCUCUGUCUACAUGGCAUCAUUAG
rnacentral:lncRNA from 1 species